GAGGGGAUAGCUCAAGUGGUAGAACACAUGCUUAGCAUGCAUGAGGUUCUGGGUUCAGUCCCCAGUACCUCCU
rnacentral:tRNA from 1 species